rnacentral:ribozyme from 14 species
AAAAAAGAAAAAGAAAAGAAAAAAAGUACACGCCAUAUUUGUUUUCCGCUUUAAAAUCCAACCUUUUGUUGUUACUUCAU